AGAUCAUGUAUGUAGUGAUCAAGUAAAGUAAGAACCUUAAUCACAUGUUUGUCAGAUUUAAUCUUGUUUUUGUAAGAAUUAUUAUCCAGUAUGUCUUAAUGUCAGGUUCUGGUUUAGGGGAUAAUUGAUGUAACCUCAAAGGUGAAGAAAGUUUUGGUAUGAAGUCACAACUUAGUUACUUAAAGAAAGUGCAAAAUGAUGAAUUUUCUGUAUGCAUACCAUGGUCUUUUAAGUAUAUGGAAACUAAGCUAAUUGUGAUAUGUACUUUUAGGUUAUGCCAGGGAGGAGAGCUUGUGGAUAGAAUGCUUGCAUGGUAUAUUUUUCUGUUACAUUUGAUAAAUUAACCUCUAAAUAAUUGUUUUUUUCCUCAAAAUUUAUUUGUGGUGAUUCUAUUUUGUCUAUCAUUCCUUUUUGGUUGGGGCAGAAGUACUCUGAAGAGGGAGCAAAGGUUGGCACGGUACAUACAUUAAAGGUUUGUGUUCUGUCAUCUCCAGGGCAUUGUGCACUGUGAUCUUAAACUUGAGAUAAUCAUAUUCCUCAAUCUUGAGCUGUUGUAUGUUCUGUGUUACCUUCUCAUCUAACAAUGAUUGAGAUAUAUUUAGUUUGAUUUAUGUUGUUUUUGUUGUCGUCUUCAUGUCAUUGUCCUGUGUACAUCUCAACCAGUCAAAUUUUUCCUUUUUGUUUAGAAAUUUUUGGUCUUAUUUCUCUUCAUAACUUAUAUUGUACUUCUGCAAGAAGUACAUACAUGCCAUGUUGGAAUUCAGGAUCACGUAAAUAAAGGUAUUCCCUGUGUCCUGAAUUAAUAAUUUUUCUAAAUCAUCUUUACGUGAUUAGUCUAGCUGGACUAGGAAGAAGUUUCACUAUCAGAAUGUAUCAAGUUGAGAGGCUUUUUUCCAUUAAUGAUGAAUGAAGGCUUUGCCAUGAAGGCUUGCCCAUGAUUCUGCUAUACUUUAUUUACAUCAACAUACAACUGAACAUGAAACAUUGAAAGACUUGAAGCUUGGCCAUGAAAGUGACUUUCAGGUUCUUUACUGCAUAUCAGAGCAGUCUCUUUCUUCUGUUUCUUGUCGAAGUAGUCAUGAAUUUUGGUUUGAUGAAAAUCCGAUUACAGGCUUCUCUUUUUGGUGAAGGAUUAUUGGUCAUUUUGUGGAAGCUGAAGGAUGGGACCAUCAACUUGGAAGAAAAGGGAAGAAGAAAGAAGUCAAGUUCUGCAUUUUACAUCCAAAUUUGAGUUGGGAAGGAGUAGCAUUGUAGCUAGUUUAGGAAGAUUUUCUGGAAGAGGAAAAUUUGGGAAAGAUAAAUUUGUUUAGGAAAAUAUGCACAAGUCGGUAUACAAUUUUUGCUGGAAUUACUCAGUUUAUACUUGAAUUUUUUUAGAUUCAACUAUAAUCAAGAAAGGUUGCGGAAAAGCUAGAAGAAAGUUCUUGAGAAAUGAAAAGUCUAUGGAAAAAAUGAUGAGAACAAAGAUUCAGUUGGAAAAUGGUGGCCAAUUAAGCCAAUUUCAUCAAUAAAGUUCAAAGUUUUCUUUCCAUCCAAACAAAUGAAAGGAACACACAAGAGAGGAGAAAGAUGCAAUACUGAGUAGAUUACACUAUAUUUUUCAAGACAAUCACAUUUUUGUGAUAGGACGUACUCCCUCCGGAUCAAAAAAAGAGUCCAUUUAGCCUUUUUUUUCUUGGAUAAAAAAAAAGUGUCCACUUAGCAAAUCAAGAAAGAAUUAACCUUGUUUUUCCAUAUUUGUCCCUAUUAAGUGUUAUAUGAUUAAAUCUCAAUGCCUAUUUAAUUAGGGGCAGUUUAAUCAAAUUACCUAUUUUUGUCUAGGAGUUAGUAUUUUCUUAAAGAGUAUGCAAAUGGCUAAGUGGACUCUUUUUUUGAUCCGGAGGGAGUAGUAGUUAGUCAUAAAUUGAUUACAUCUGUGAUAAGAAAUAGUCUGUCAUAAGUUAAUUCGUAGUGACAAAAACAUACCAUCAACCACGAAAAUCAACACUUUUUAUGACAAAUAAGUUUGUCACAAAUACUAUGCAUUUGGGGAUGAAAGGAAGAUUUCGUGGUUAAUAAACUUUAUUUAGUGAUGAAAUA